AACAGUAGCUCAACGGUAGAGCGUCUGACUCCAGAUCAGAAAGUUGUGAGUUCAAAUCUUACCUGUUU
rnacentral:tRNA from 2 species